AACGAACGCUGGCGGCAUGCCUAACACAUGCAAGUCGAACGAGACCUUCGGGUCUAGUGGCGCACGGGUGCGUAACGCGGGGGAACCUGCCCUGAGGUUCGGAAUAACUCCCCGAAAGGGGUGCUAAUACCGGAGAAUGUCUUGGGACAAAAGAUUUAUCGCCUUUGGAUGGGCCCGCGUUGGAUUAGCUAGUUGGUAGGGUAAAAGCCUACCAAGGCGACGAUCCAUAGCUGGUCUGAGAGGAUGAUCAGCCACACUGGGACUGAGACACGGCCCAGACUCCUACGGGAGGCAGCAGUGGGGAAUAUUGGACAAUGGGCGAAAGCCUGAUCCAGCAAUGCCGCGUGAGUGAUGAAGGCCUUAGGGUUGUAAAGCUCUUUUACCCGGGAUGAUAAUGACAGUACCGGGAGAAUAAGCUCCGGCUAACUCCGUG
rnacentral:rRNA from 1 species